AGGACGAACGCUGGCGGCGUGCCUAAUGCAUGCAAGUCGAGCGACGAAUAGGUGCGGGUAACCAAGCCUAUUACGGAGCGGCGAACGGGUGAGUAACACGUGAGCAACCUGCCCCGAAGACCGGGAUAGCCCAGGGAAACUUGGAUUAAUACCGGAUAUCCUCCUUUGAUCGCAUGGUCGUUGGAAGAAAUGCUUUUACGCUUCGGGAUGGGCUCGCGGCCUAUCAGCUUGUGGUGGGUAACGGCCUACCAAGGCGUCGACGGGUAGCUGGUCUGAGAGGACGGAUCAGCCGCACGUGGGACUGAGACACGGCCCAGACCUCCUACGGGAGGCAGCAGCAGGGAAUUUGCGCAAGUGGCGAAGCCUGACGCAGCAACGCCGCGGUGGGGAGUGAAGGCCGUUCGGUUCGUAACCCCGUUUAGGA
rnacentral:rRNA from 1 species